UAAUAAGAAGGCCCAAGAGCCACACAGGGAGGGCUAUCGAAAGUCAAUCCAGAGCUAGAUACAGGAACACCAGAGAAAAGAUUGAGGAAGCCAACACAAAGCUAUAUAGUGGCCAAAGCAGCUAACAUACUACCAACUUAUAUAUCAAAUAAAAAAGCAUUACAACUUAAGAGACAGAGACAGCAAAGAAGAAAAUACAACCACACAGAAAGUCAGCUUACGAAGUUAAGUGCCUGCAUAGCCAAAAAAGGUAGCAGUGUGGGUUAGCCUGAUCUACCAGACAGAGAACUCCAGAACCUGGAAGCCACCACACAGAAGGCCCCAUCAGAUGUCCUUCCAAAGGAGGCAGGAUGUGGAUAACUUCAAAUGGCAUCAGAGAUGGCCAGAUUCAAUCAGAGCUACAACUAAGAAACAAAGUUAGUUUGGCCUGGUCUUCCAGGGUUUUUAACUGUUAUAAAUGCUUCAAUUGUUAAUUGGUUUUAUGUUGUUUUUAUAGUUUUGAUUUUAAUUGUUAACUUAUAUUAAUUGUUUUAUUUUUAUCUAAAGCGCCCUGAGCCAUUUUUGGAAUGGCAGCAACAAAAUCAAAAUAAAAUCAAAAUAAAAUAAUA